GAUGACUCCACUCCACUGCCCAGCGCGAGAUCACCGUCAGGGCAGCUCUGGCCUCUGCCCACCAAGGGCAGCCGCUGCCAAAGACGCUGAGUGUCCUGGAGAACACGCCGCAGGUGCGAGGCAUGCACACCAUCAUCAGCUCCCUCGCAGGCAGCCUGUUGGUCUCGCCUUGCCAGGCUGCUGCCGGCCAACGUCGCUUCCCUGUUGUUCAACACUGGCGGCUCCCCUGUGCCUCAGCCUUCUGUCUCCAAGGGCCCUCCUGGGAGGUUUCUGUUGUGGCAGCAGAUGAGCAUCUCGCUGAGGAGAGUCACAGCAAAUCCAGGCUUGGCAUCUCGGGGAGAAGCAGUUUCCAGAGUGGUUUUUCUGUUAUUGUGGAGAGGCGGGAACUGAAAAAUCGGCUAGAGUAGCUGAAUGAUUUUAUUCAUGAGCAGGCUGGAGAUGGACAGUGUAAGAAGGGUCACGUUUUCCAACUUAAAAGAUGUUUCAGUGUCGGGUCCAGAUCACCAGAGUCGGUGGGAGCAUUUUGUGCCACCCACCUGGACUCUGCGGUGCCCGAACCAUCCUUUCUGUCCCCCCCAACAGCCCUGAAGCACCUUGGGCUCUCUCUGCCACGGGACGACGGCGUUUCCUUUCCACAGUUUCUGUCGUGGCUCCUGCGCGCUCCCGAGAGGCCCCGGGACGUCCCCGGCGGCUCAGCCUGUGGGUGGCGCGGGUCACCUGCCUUGCUUCCCAGUUUGCUCUGGCCUGAGCCUUUGGACUUUGUGCUCUGGCAGGACACGUUGUCCCGCGCUGGGGCUGCCCUUGAGAAGCGUGUGGCUGUUGGCCCUUCAGGCAGGGCCAGAGUGAGGUGCUCCCUGUGUGCUGGGAAGCUGCUGGCACCAGAGGGUGCCUCGGACGCGAACCCUGCCCGGUUUCCCCAGGGCCCAAAGGUGACAGCCAGCUCUCAGCCGCAGCCUCUGCCCAUGGGCUGCGCCCACCUUGUGCUCGGGCUCCCAGCCGGGCGCUUGCUGGGCCUACCAGGCCGUCCAGAGCUGCCGUGGGGGUGCUGUGUGUGGGAGGCCCCCCCGUGGGGCAGUGUGCAUGCUGACAGCCCACGCUGAAGAGCUGUAGGCAGGGUGCCCAUUUCUUCUAGACCAGAACUGAUAUUUUUUUCUGACUUCUCUGGGGGUCCCCCUACUUUCCCCAGGCUUUGUGGGAAAUGUCCACGUCUAUGUUAGGUUUUCUGGUCACUGCAGAGCUCUCGGGUGUGAGCUACCCAGGUCGGGCUGCAAAAAUAUCUCAGGGUAGUAACGACUGUUUAUCCUUCUCCAGAGCUGCUGGCUGGGCUGUCUGUCAUCGUGCUGAGAUGUGAGAAGUGGCAGAUGAUGUCUUAAAAUACAGAGUAAAAAUAUUCAGUAUCCUUCUGCCUCUUCUGGACUGUUGCCAGUUCCACCUCUUCCAUCUAGAAACUGGGAAACGUCCGUGGGGUUUCUUUGUUCAUUACGUUCUCCAGAACAUGCCAGGGGCGUGCGCAGGCCGCCCUGCUUUAGACAGAGGUCGCGGAAGCGACAACAGAUUUCAGCUGCGUCCUGUUAACCGCGGUGCUGCGGUGUCGCUCUGCGCCCCGGGUUUUGCUCAGCCGGGGAGCCGGGAGCUUGUUCUUGAUGAUUCUCUGGUAAAACUUAGGUUGCAACCUGCUUCUUUUGCCAAAGCAGCCACAGGCUGCAGGAGGUGGAUUCUGUACGGUCGCGC